rnacentral:rRNA from 1 species
AUUGAACGCUGGCGGCAUGCCUUACACAUGCAAGUCGAACGGCAGCACGGGAGCAAUCCUGGUGGUGAGUGGCGAACGGGUGAGUAAAGUAUCGGAACGUGCCCAGUCGUGGGGGAUAACGUAGCGAAAGUUACGCUAAUACCGCAUACGAUCUAUGGAUGAAAGCGGGGGAUCGCAAGACCUCGCGCGAUUGGAGCGGCCGAUAUCAGAUUAGGUAGUUGGUGGGGUAAAGGCUCACCAAGCCGACGACCUGUAGCUGGUCUGAGAGGACGACCAGCCACACUGGGACUGAGACACGGCCCAGACUCCUACGGGAGGCAGCAGUGGGGAAUUUUGGACAAUGGGCGCAAGCCUGAUCCAGCCAUGCCGCGUGCAGGAUGAAGGCCUUCGGGUUGUAAACUGCUUUUGUACGGAACGAAAAGGUUUGACUUAAUGCGUUGGACUCAUGACGGUACCGUAAGAAUAAGCACCGGCUAACUACGUGCCAGCAGCCGCGGUAA